rnacentral:lncRNA from 1 species
UGCCCAUCAUGUGCCAUAGGCUUGCAAUUCAAUCAAUCAUUGACGUACAAAUACAUCAUAGAAUACAAUCCAAAAGAUCAAAAAUAAUAACAAUUAUUAUAACCCUUUUUAUGAGACUCACAGGUCUCCAAAUUACAAGAAUCAUAUAAUGCAUGCAGGCACCCAAUAUACAUACUUAGAUCUAAUCUAAUAAGACAUGCAGA